rnacentral:rRNA from 1 species
CCUACGGGUGGCAGCAGUGGGGAAUAUUGGGCAAUGGACGAAAGUCUGACCCAGCAAAGCCGCGUGAAGGAUGAAGGCCUUCGGGUUUUUAACUUCUUUUCUUAGGGAAGAAAAAAGUGACGGUACCUGAUGAAUAAGCCUCGGCUAACUACGUGCCAGGAGCCGCGGUAAUACGUAGGCGGCGAGCGUUAUCCGGAUUUACUGGGUGUAAAGGGAGCGUAGGUGGAUCUGCAAGUCAGUCGUGAAACUUAAGGGCUCAACCGUUAAACUGCUGUUGAAACUGGAGUACUUGAGUGAAGGAGAGGCAGGCGGAAUUCGUGGUGUAGCGGUGAAAUGCGUAGAUAUUAGGAGGAACACCAGUGGCGAAGGCGGCUUGCUGGACUGUAACUGACACUGAGGCACGAAAGCGUGGGGAGCAAACAGGAUUAGAUACCCUAGUAGUC